rnacentral:lncRNA from 1 species
UUUUUUAAAUCCAUGGAGUGAGGCUGGUCUUUUGGAAGUAAAGAGUUCUCCGUGCUUCUAAAUCGUUUUCGAUGUUGAAAUUUUUGAAUCGACGAUCGGCUCCAUUAGACUUGAUCUAAAUUAUUUGAAAUAUUUAAAAAAUAAAUUUUGUAAUUUUUCGAUAUUAUUUACCUAAUGAUCGAAGGGCUCAAAAUGAUUCAAAAGUUUCAAUAUCGAAAAUGAUUUGAAAGCACGGAGGGUUCUAUGCUUCCAAAAGCAUACCAUUCUGACUCAAAUCAGAGGCCUCUUUGUUUCCAAGUUGUUUUCAAUGAUGCGGUUUCCAAAUCGACGAUCGGCUCCGUUAGACUUGAUCUACACUAUUAAAAGUAUUUAGAAACUAAAUUUCAUAAUUUUUCGGCAUUAUUUGGCUAGUGAUCAAAAGGUCUUAAAAUUGACAAUUUUAAUGAUAGAUGUGGCACGUUUGUGAAUUUAACGGUGUAAAACACCUUAAAUCUGAUGAAAUUUUUAUAAUUUUUUUUUUUCAUUAUUUAGAGUAAGAUCAAUACCUGAUCUUAAAUUCAAGUCUUUUAUCAUCAUUUUUUAUGAGAUUUUUAUUUUCAGCCGUUUAUUUUUAGACUACUCGUUUGAUAGGUAAAUGAUGCCGAAAAAUUAUGAAAUUUAGUUUUCAAAUAUUUUCAAUAGUGUAGAUCAAAUCUAACGGAGCCGAUCGUCAAUUUGGAAGCCGCAAUAUUGAAAACAACUUGAUAGCACGGAGGCCUCCGUACUACCAGUAGUAUACCAGCCUAGUUCUAUAUAUAUAUAUAUAUGUAUGUAUGUAUGUAUUCGAGAUUUUCGAGCCUAAUUCGAGCGAGCCAAGUAAUACUCAAACUCAGUUUGAAAUGAAUUUCGAGCUUUUUUUUUUGUUUAAGUUCGGCUCAUUUAAUUUCGAGUGAAGCUCGAGCGAGUCGAAUAUCAAGCCGAACAUGAGUCAAACGCGAGCCGACUCAUUCAUUUGUCAUCCCUACCCUUAU